AAGUCGUAACAAGGUUUCCGUAGGUGAACCUGCGGAAGGAUCAUUAAUGAGAUCAUGCCCUUCGGGGUAGACCUCCCACCCCCUGUUUACCGUACCCGUUGCUUUGGCGUCUCCGCAAGGCCGGCGCAGAGCCUUUAAAACCCGUAUUCAUUGUCGUCUGAGUACUAUCAAUAGUUAAAA
rnacentral:misc_RNA from 1 species